rnacentral:rRNA from 1 species
GUGGGGAAUCUUGCACAAUGGGGGAAACCCUGAUGCAGCGACGCCGCGUGAACGAUGAAGCCCUUCGGGGUGUAAAGUUCUUUCGACAGGAACGAUAAUGACGGUACCUGGAGAAGAAGCUGCGGCUAACUACGUGCCAGCAGCCGCGGUAAUACGUAGGCAGCGAGCGUUGUUCGGAGUUACUGGGCGUAAAGAGUGCGUAGGCGGCGAGCCAAGUUUGGUGUGAAAUCUCCCGGCUUAACCGGGAGGGUGCGCCGAAAACUGGGUGGCUGGAGUAUGGGAGAGGAGAGCGGAAUUCCUGGUGUAGCGGUGAAAUGCGUAGAUAUCAGGAGGAACACCUGCGGCGUAGACAGCUUUCUGGACCAAAACUGACGCUGAGGCACGAAAGCGUGGGUAGCAAACA